rnacentral:lncRNA from 1 species
AUUAUAUCAUGAUCAUGUUCCUCAAAUCAAUGAUAAAAAGUAAAAUAACAAAAAUUACCGAACUUCAAGGAAAAUUUAAAUCGGAAAGAUUUCUUUUGAAAUGGCAAAAAUUGAAAGCUAAAAUGCAUCAAACGAAUGGACAACAACUGUCAUAUUCCUGAUUUGAUACAGGCAUUUCCUUGUGUAGAAAAUGGUAGACGAAACCCGGUUAAUAGCUAGCUAAACAUCUCACUUGUAUGACAGUCGCUUAAAUUAUAUUGACAACAAUGUGUGAACAAAACAGCCAGACAUAUUAAUUAAAAAUGUCAAAAUUAGGGGUACAGCAAUUAACAUUGUGUUAUUAUCUUAAUCACUAUAAAACAAACAAAUAUGUCCACAGAGAACAAUAAAAUGGCAUAUAAACAAUGCACAAAGGCAAAAAUCAAAUACAAGAAUAAAAAAAAAUAACAACAGCACAACAGUUCAUUUGCGGGAUUCAUAAGUACAAAGCCAGGCCAAUAGGAUUUCACCAAAAAGAACUAAACAGUAAAAGUUAAUAAUAUUUAAUAAGACAAAUAAAAGAAC